UCCUCUCUCUCUCAUCACUCUUCUCUCUCUCUCUCUCAUGUUAAACUUGGUUACUUUGUGGAUUAUUUUUUCUUCCUUCGAGAUUAGCAAGAUAUUGAUUUUGGGAUUAAAGAGGGUGUUGAUUUUAGGACAUAAAUUUUGAUUGGAGAAGAGAGCUUCACUGCAAGUCUUCCAAGUCUCCUUUUCCAAUUGGUCCUAACCACUAAGGGAAGAAUUCGGAUGACAAGGGCAUCAAGAACUCGGUCUUCUGUUUGGAAAGUUAGUGAUAUGCAUCCAGAUAUGGGAUUGGUGGCAAAAAGAUAGCUUUUGUGGGACUACUUGAAUUCAAAUAAUUUUUUUAAAGUUUGGACGUUAAGACAUCAUUUGUAUAUAAAUGGUUGUAAUUACUUUGUGAACAUCUUUAUUGCAUUUUUAGAUUGUAUGGAUUUUUUAUUUUAUGGAUUUGGUUAGAAAUUAAUGGA